rnacentral:rRNA from 1 species
AUUGAACGCUAGCGGGAUGCCUUACACAUGCAAGUCGAACGGAGUGGCGAACGGGUGAGUAAUGUAUCGGAACGUGCCCAGUAGCGGGGGAUAACUACGCGAAAGCGUAGCUAAUACCGCAUACUAUUGGAGCGGCCGAUAUCGGAUUAGCUAGUGGGUGGGGUAACGGCGCACCAAGGCGACGAUCCGUAGCGGGUUUGAGAGGACGACCAGCCAAACUGGGACUGAGACCGGGCCCAGCUUCCACGGGGAGGAAGCAGUGGGGAACUUUGGACAAUGGGGGAAACCCUGAGCCAGCCAUCCCGCGUGUGCGAUGAAGGCCUUCGGGUUGUAAGGCACUUUUGGCAGGAAAGCGGUACCUGCAGAAUAAGCACCGGCUAACUACGUGCCAGCAGCCGCGGUAAUAC